UACAGAGGGCUCAAGCGUUGUUCGGAUUCAUUGGGCGUAAAGGGUGCGUAGGCGGCGCGGUAAGUCGGGUGUGAAAUCUUGGAGCUUAACUCCGAAACUGCAUUCGAUACUGCCGUGCUUGAGGACUGGAGAGGAGACUGGAAUUUACGGUGUAGCGGUGAAAUGCGUAGAUAUCGUAAGGAAGACCAGUGGCGAAGGCGGGUCUCUGGACAGUUCCUGACGCUGAGGCACGAGGGUCAGGGGAGCAAACGGG
rnacentral:rRNA from 1 species